rnacentral:rRNA from 1 species
GACGAACGCUGGCGGCGUGCUUAACACAUGCAAGUCGAACGGAAAGGCCCUGCUUUUGUGGGGUGCUCGAGUGGCGAACGGGUGAGUAACACGUGGGUAACCUGCCCUUGACUUUGGGAUAACUUCCGGAAACUGGGGCUAAUACCGGAUAGGAGCUCCUGCUGCAUGGUGGGGGUUGGACAGUUUCGGCGGCUGGGGAUGGACUCGCGGCUUAUCAGCUUGUUGGUGGGGUAGUGGCUUACCAAGGCUUCGACGGGUAGCCGGCCUGGGAGGGUGACCGGGCACAUUGGGACUGCGAGACGGCCCAGACUCGUACGGGAGGCAGCAGUGGGGAAUAUGGCACAAUGGGCGGAAGCCUGAUGCAGCAACGCCGCGUGCGGGAUGACGGCCUUCGGGUUGUAAACCGCUUUCGCCUGUGACGAAGCGUGAGUGACGGUAAUGGGUAAAGAAGCACCGGCUAACUACGUG